AACCUGGUUGAUCCUGCCAGUAGUCAUAUGCUUGUCUCAAAGACUAAGCCAUGCAUGUCUAAGUAUAAGUAUUAUACAGCGAAACUGCGAAUGGCUCAUUAAAACGGUUAUAAUUUAUUUGAUAAUCGAAUUUACAUGGAUAACCGUGGUAAUUCUAGAGCUAAUACAUGCUGGUAGGCCCGACUUUUUGGAAGGGCGGUAUUUAUUAGAUAACAAACCAAUAUUCCUCUGGUCUAUUGUGGUGAAUCAUAAUAACUGAUCGAAUCGCAAGGUUUUUAACCGCGAUAAGUCAUUCAAGUUUCUGCCCCAUCAGCUUUCGAUGGUAGUGUAUUGGACUACCAUGGCUUUUACGGGUAACGGAGGAUUAGGGUUCGAUUCCGGAGAGGGAGCCUGAGAAACGGCUACCACAUCUAAGGAAGGCAGCAGGCGCGUAAAUUACCCAAUCCUGACUCAGGGAGGUAGUGACAAGAAAUAACGGACCGAGGCCUUCGGGCUUCGGGAUUGCAAUGAGCCGAAUUUACACCCCUUAGCGAAGGAUC
rnacentral:rRNA from 1 species